GAUGAACGCUGGCGGCGUGCCUAAUACAUGCAAGUCGAACGAAGGUCUAGCUUGCUAGACCUUAGUGGCGAACGGGUGAGUAAUACAUAAAUAAUCUGCCCAUAUGACUGGGAUAACUAUUGGAAACGAUAGCUAAUACCGGAUAGGUUAAUUGGAGGCAUCUCUGAUUAAUUAAAGUAGGAUUUCUACACAAAUGGAUGAGUUUAUGGCGCAUUAGUUAGUUGGUGGGGUAACGGCCUACCAAGACGAUGAUGCGUAGCCGACCUGAGAGGGUGACCAGCCACACUGGGACUGAGACACGGCCCAGACUCCUACGGGAGGCAGCAGUAGGGAAUUUUCGGCAAUGGGCGCAAGCCUGACCGAGCAACGCCGCGUGAGUGAUUAAGGCCUUCGGGUUGUAAAGCUCUGUUGUAAGGGAAGAACAUUCAGGAUAGGAAAUGAUCUUGAACUGACGGUACCUUACCAGAAAGCCACGGCUAACUACGUGCCAGCAGCCGCCGUAAUAC
rnacentral:rRNA from 1 species